rnacentral:rRNA from 1 species
UACGUAGGGGGGAAGCGUUGUCCGGAAUCAUUGGGCGUAAAGAGCGUGUAGGCGGCCCGAUAAGUCCGUCGUGAAAGUCCAGGGCUCAACCCUGGGAUGCCGGUGGAAACUGUCGGGCUAGAGUCCGGAAGAGGCGAGUGGAAUUCCUGGUGUAGCGGUGAAAUGCGCAGAUAUCGGGAGGAACACCAGUGGCGAAGGCGACUUCCUGGCCUGUUCUUGACGCUGAGGCGCGAAAGCUAGGGGAGCAAACGGG